GCCGCGCCUGGGCGGCUAGUUCAAGUUGCCAUAGCUGCGAGUCAGGGUUGAGCAGAGUCGGUUGCGCCGCAGCGUUGAGUCGGUUGCACCUUCGGGGUCGCUGGUAGCCGCGGGAGCCGGGUGGGGCCUCGGCGAUGAUCCGGCGUUAAGAACCUGGAGUCACCUUGGGUCUAAGGUGUUUUGGGGGAAGUGUAGAGGCAACCCAAAAGAGCAUCUACUUGACUAGACCUUUUGCCCGGAAUCUCAUGAAGAAAUGAUAGGAGGCAGGCAUCCGUGCCUAAGAAGAGCACUGAGCUCAAAGGACAGCAACACAGAGUUCUGGGAGUGUACUUUGAGUUCCACCAGAUGCAGGAGUCUGACCAGCUCUCAUUGCUCAAAGUAAUUGAAAUUAAUAGCAGAAGACUUAGAGUGCACCCGGGAAGCUCAUGCCAAAAACUGAUUCUAUCUUAUUGAAAGUAUGUAAUCCUAGCUGGGGAUUUGUGUACAUCAAUGGCAGAAUCAUCCAGUGAUUCAGACCACUUCCGCUAUCGUAACCGAUUUAGUCGAUGGGCAACCAGGACAGUUCAAAGGGGAACUGGAGGUCAUCCUACAGCAGAUGUCACUGCGAAGGUCAACACUAUAACCAGUACUUUACAGGACACCAGCCGGAACCUACAACAAGUGGAUGAGAUGCUUGGACGAUAUCGAGAAUAUAGCAUUGGACAUGCGGGUGCUAUUGAACAGUUAAAGGAAGAUUUGGAGCAGUCGAUAAGCCAACUGCGGAGUCAGCGCUUACAGAGAAACUCAGGAGGGAGAAGUGCUUCUGUUACCAGCCUGAGUGCAAGUGAUCUCGAUGGUGGCACCAUGGCAGAGAGUCUUCGCUUUACACCUACCUCACCGCUGAAGGACUAUGAUCCCCAGGGUAUUAAACGAAACAGGUCCAGAACUGGGGUUCGGUUUGUUCGGGAGACAGACGACAUGGCCCAGCUGCAUGCAUUUCAUCAGUCCCUCCGAGACCUCAGCAGUGAACAAGUUCGGCUUGGAGAUGAUUUCAACAAGGAGAUUUCCAGAAGAAGCCGGUCGGAUGCUGAAACAAAAAGGGUUUUGGAAGAAUUGACUGAAAAGCUUCAUGAAGCCCAGAAACAAGAUGUGGUUUCAGAUCGAGUGGAGCGGCGGCUUCAGGAAAUAGAGAGAGAGAUGCGCACGGAAAGAGAGCUGGUGGAAAGACGCCAGGAUCAGCUGGGACUCAUGUCCUUGAAGCUUCAGGAGGCCCUGAAGAAACAAGAAGCGAAAGCAGAUGAGAAUGAGGACGUAAUGAAAAACAAGCUACAUCAAGCUGAAACUGAGAAGAGUCAUCUGGAACAGGAAUUGGAGCUUUCUCGCAGGCUGCUGAAUCAAUCUGAAGGCAGCAGAGAAACACUUUUGCAUCAGGUGGAAGAACUGCGUACUCAACUUACGAAAGCUGAAGGUGACCGGAAGGGUUUACAACACCAAGUAGCCAAGCAACAGUCAAGCUCCCAGGAUGAUCAACGAGAUGACUGGAGGUUUAGAAGAGGGGUAGAGCGGGAGAAACAGAGUCUGGAGAGGCAGAUGGCGGAACUGCGGGUGCACCUGAACUUCAACGCCAUGGCUUCCGAGUUAGAGGAGGUGAAGCGGUGCAUGGAACGGAAGGACAAGGAGAAAGCCAGUUUGGCGGCCCAAGUAGAGACUCUAACACGUGACUUGGAGAACAGGGAAAAACAACAGUUGCAGAUGUUGGAUCAACUUAAGGAGAUCCAGAAUCACUUUGAGACCUGUGAGGCUGAUCGUAAGCACAAUGACCUCCAGAUCUCAGAGCUGACUCGCCAUGCAGAGGAUGCGACCAAGCAGGCAGAACACUACCUUAGUGAGUUCCAGAGGUCGGAGGCCCUGCGAGAGGAGGCAGAGAAGAGGCGAGAAGAUCUGAAAACGAAGGCCCAGGACUCCAUCCGCCAGUGGAAGGUGAAGCAUAAGAAGCUGGAGCGGGCAUUGGAGAAACAAGCUGAAACCCUUGACCAGCUGACAGAAAAGAACAAUCAGCUUCUAAAAGAGAAAGAUGAAUUGAAAAGCCAGUUUUAUGGAGCAUUGCAACAGAUCGAGAAUCUCAGGAAGGAACUGAAUGAUGUCCUAACCAAGCAUGCCCUGCAGCAGGAGGAGCUUCACUGUAAGGACCAGAAACUCAGCGAUGUUCAAUCUCACCAAGUUGAACUUGAACUGGAGGUCAAGAAUUCCCUUGACACCAUCCAUCGGCUGGAAAGUGAAUUGAAAAGACAGAAUAAGAUUCAAAGCCAGAUAAAAGCUGAGAAGAUUCACCUGGAGGAAGAAAUUGCAGAGCUGAAGAUGAGCCAGGCCCAGGACAAAGUCAAACUUCUUGAGAUGCAGGAGUCCAUCAAGGACUUGAGUACCAUCCGAGCCGAUCUUGCUAAUAAAUUGGCCGAAGAAGAGAGAGCCAAGAAAGCUGUGUUCAAGGACCUUUCUGAACUGAUGGCCCAGACCAAGUCCAAAGAGGAAGAAAUGGCUACCAUUAUCACACAGUUAAACUUAGAACGAGACGUUCACCAGAGGGAGCUGGAAGAUCUCACAUCCUCACUGCACAGCGUGAAAACGAAGCACGAACAGAAUAUCCAGGAGCUGAUGAAGCACUUUAAGAAAGAAAAGAGUGAAGCAGAGAAUCAUAUCAGGACACUGAAGGCAGAGAGCCUGGAAGACAAGAAUAUGGCUAAAGCCCACCGCUGUCAGCUGGAGAAACUGACGUCCCAGUGUGAGAAACUGACGGAGGAGUUAGCCCAGAAUGAAAAUGAGAACAGGAAACUGAAGCAGAAGUACCAGUGUCUGAAGGAGGAACUAGAGGAAAAGGAGAAACAUAUAAGUAAUGAAGAAGAGCACUUAAGGAGAAUGGAGGAGGCCAGGCUGCAGCUCAAGGAUCAACUUCUUUGUUUGGAGACAGAGCAGGAAUCCAUUCUUGGUGUAAUAGGAAGGGAAAUUGAUGCAGCUUGUCAAACUUUCUCCAAAGACUCCGUGGAGAAAUUGAAACACAGGCCUGUUACAGCGUUCUUGUCACAGUUCCUUGAGGUUUACUAUGAUGACAUCUUGAUGGGCAGUCAUCGUUGUCUAUUGAGUGGGCUUUGUGUUCCCCGCCGUAUAGAAACACUCGUGUAUUUGAUUUAUACUUUGACCUUAUGUUAGUGUCUUUGUCCCAUGACCCUGAUAACCUGUAGUUCUGCCACUUAUAACUGGUGAAAGAUGUUCUUUAAAACAUGAAAUCAUUUGCAAAUCUGUGGAGCAAAUCAUGACAUUGCUUGUAUUGUAUCAAAAUAAAUAUUAUUACCCAAAGGGAAGAUUUGAUUGAGGCAGUAAAGAUUUAAUGGAGUUGGUUAAUGAAAAGGAAAGUAUAAUUGGUGACAAAUGGGUGCUCACAGAUGUUUAGCAGCAUAGCUUGUUGUUGAAAGAGGAAGAAGAAAUAGAGAAUUUGGGCAAUUAGGGAAAGCCUGAUUGAAAAGGUGGAGCACCUAAACCUUAGGUUAGAGCUGGGUGUGGUGGUUCAGGCGUUUAAUCUAGCAUGGGAGCUGCAGAAGAGAGGCCAGCCUCCUCUAGAUAGGUAUCCACAGUUCCAGAGAAGCCAGGGCUACAUAGCAACACCCCAUUUCAAAACACGAGACAAAGUGAAACCAAACAAACCAGCAGAAGAGCUGGGUUAGACUUAGAGAAAGAAGUGAUUGGGUGUACUGCCACUAUACUUUUGUGUAUGGAAUGUGGUAGAUACUUAAUAUGUAUUAAGUAUGUAUUUAAGUGAAUUAACUACUGCUAUUCUGACAGAGAACUGUGUACAUACACCUGGAGAUAUGUAAGCAUUUGAGAGCAGAAAUAGACAUCUCUUUAGAAAAGAAAGGAUAUUUUUAGAUAAAACAUAUCGAGAAGUUCUGCAAAAAUAUCCUAUGUAGCACUGAGUUUGAAGAACUGGGAAUAAUGUAAUUUGUGUUUACAAUUAUAAAGACAUCAGCAGCUUGUGAGUGUAGAUUUAGUUCAGUAAUAAGGCAAAAGCAGAUGUUGAGCGAUUUUGUAAAUGAGUUGGUAUAAAGGAAAUCAGAGCAGCUAAUAAAGGCAACAGUUUAAUACAAAAUUUUCUGUCUGUUUUGAAAUAUAAAGCAAUGUUUGCAUAAAUUUAUUUUGAUGAGCUGCUCUUUACAGUCUUUGAUAAAACAAAAUGGACCCCAAGGUAUAAAGAUGGAUAAACGAGACAGAAUCAAGUUUCUCUGUAGGCACAUUUAAACCUCUGUGGAGUCCGUUACUGGAACAGCACUGAGAGGAAGUCAGAGGCAAAGCAAACAGGCUUUAAUCAAGGUUGCUCGCCAGGUGUUUACCUCUGGGCCUGAAAUACAAUAUGACCCACAUCGCUGGUUAGCUGAAAGCAAGACCAAGCUUCAGUGGCUCUGUGAGGAGCUGAAAGAGAGAGAGAGCAGAGAGAAG